UCUCACUGAUGAUUUCGCAGAGUAAGC
rnacentral:piRNA from 1 species